rnacentral:rRNA from 1 species
UACGUAGGGUGCGAGCGUUAAUCGGAAUUACUGGGCGUAAAGCGUGCGCAGGCGGUUCGUUGUGUCGGCGUUGAAAGCCCCGGGCUUAACCUGGGAAUGGCCGUUGAAACUGGCGAACUGGAGUGUGGCAGAGGGGGGUGGAAUUCCGCGUGUAGCAGUGAAAUGCGUAGAGAUGCGGAGGAACACCGAUGGCGAAGGCAGCCCCCUGGGCUAACACUGACGCUCAGGCACGAAAGCGUGGGGAGCAAACAGG